GGGUUCUGCUUGACUCUGCAUUCUCCUACUUCCCUGCCUGCUUACUCUCUGCCAUCAUAGUUUUUUGCUUCAACCUUCAAAUGUAGCCAUUCUUUUUCUAAAGGGGUACUUAUUCUCUUUCUUAGUUAAAAUUAUUAAUUUUAUGCACUUACUGUUCUAGCUCCAAUUUUGCAUUUCCAGUUCCCUGCUGGGAAUAAAUUAAAUUGGCAGAAGCUCAGCCUAAGUGCUUGCAACAGAAUUUGUCCCAUAUCCAUACAACUUGCUCCUCCACAACAAAUGGGAGAAUCAUCCUCUUACCUCCAGGCUGUGAUGGAGGAGAAGCUAUCCCUCAGCACAGGAUUUUGGUAGAAUAAGAAUAAAAAUGACAAGUCCCUUCCUGAAAAGCUCUUCAUUGUCUCUUGAAAAUGGUCUGUGAAAGUGCCAAAUCACCAGCUCUCCAGAUGUGGCUGAAUAUCAAGGUGAAUUUAAUUUAGACUUAGCUUGGGAUCCCCGUCAUAACAAAUCAGAUAAAGUGCAUGCGCAUGCAUGUGCACACACACACUCAGACAUGUAAAACCCAUCCUAGACAGUUCAAACAAGGUUUGAGUACCACUUUCCACAUAUUAGGAUUACAAGGUGCCAAGAACAUAGAGUUCCUAAUCUUGAGGAGCCUGC
rnacentral:antisense_RNA from 1 species